UUCACCCAGAGGAUGUCACAGAAUAAAGGAGUGCUUGCUCACAGGCUGUCCCUAAAGCACCAGGAAAUAUAAAUAAAACUCAAAACCAUACUGAAAUGGAAGCAGCUUCAGGAGGAAGUGCAGAGAGAUGCUGCAGUGCCAUUAAGAAGGUUCCCAAUGGUGUUUCCAAGGAGGACUUGCUGCACUAAGGACAGCUGGUUCUGGUGGUCACAUCCUGGAGGAAAAUGGGGAAUAUCAGUUCCCAAUUCCCAAGGCUGGCACAGACUCCAUGUGUCACCUCAGCUGAGUCACACCAAUUUCAAAUCAGGCGUGAUACAGAAGGAAGGGAAAUAACAACACCCGUGUAAGGAAUUCCUUGAUGCUGCUGGGAACCUCCCUGGUAAACCAGCCUGCCCUGAAAUCCCCAGCAAUGAAAACUUGUUUUUUGCCCACUUUUUACAAACUUCAGUGGGUAGAAUGAUUUCAGCAGAUGCAUUUAUUUGUCUGAUUUUGCUGCCUGGAGUCACACAGUGAGGUUUUCUGAGGUAUUAACUAUCACUUUAAAUUCUUCUCGCUUUGAGUCAUCCCAUCCCGUAUAUAAUUUGAACAGGUUUUUGUAUAAUUAUUUCUCUCAAUAAUUACCAUUGUACAAUUUCUAUAGCUGCCAGUUUUGUUUUUCUCUCCUGCCAGAGAACAGCAGAAAUGUAUUACAUGUUAGUGUAACUUAUGUUUUUGGAUUCAUGUUUAAAAUGCAUGGAAUAUUUUUCAUCUUCUGUUUGAAGCAAUACCUCAUCUGGGAUCAUAUCUCACAGUGUAAGUUUACACUGAGUAAAUGGAUGCCUUGUACUGCAAAGGGGUGUGAUCUACAAUGAAAAAGAAAAGGGUGCAAAAAAUAAACUUAAAUUUUUAAGGCAUUGGCUGGCCAGUGGAUAUUAAUGGCUACAGGUAGUGACCUGGCACAUGGGGACAGUCAUGCAGAGAGGUUUGUGUAUGGUCUCCUUUUCCCUCUUAAAUAAAUUGGAUUUGGCCAUCA